rnacentral:rRNA from 1 species
UACGUAGGGUGCGAGCGUUAAUCGGAAUACUGGGCGUAAAGCGUGCGCAGGCGGUUAUGUAAGACAGAUGUGAAAUCCCCGGGCUCAACCUGGGAACUGCAUUUGUGACUGCAUAGCUAGAGUACGGUAGAGGGGGGGAUGGAAUUCCGCGUGUAGCAGUGAAAUGCGUAGAUAUGCGGAGGAACACCGAUGGCGAAGGCAAUCCCCUGGACCUGUACUGACGCUCAUGCACGAAAGCGUGGGGAGCAAACAGG